rnacentral:tRNA from 1 species
GCGCAAUUGGUCUAGUGGUAUGAUUCUCGCUUAGGGUGCGAGAGGUCCCAGGUUCGAUCCCUGGAUUGCGCC